rnacentral:rRNA from 1 species
CCUACGGGUGGCAGCAGUCGAGAAUCUUUCUCAAUGGGCGAAACCCUGAUCCUGCGACGUCGCGUGGGGGAAUGCUGCUCUUCGGAUUGUAAACCUCUUUCAUGUGGGAGCAAAUUCAAAAGAUAGUACCACUAGAGGAAGAGACGGCUAAGUCUGUGCCAGCAACCGCGGUACUACAGAGGUCUAAAGCGUGGUUCGGAAUCACUGGGCGUAAAGCGUGCGUAGUCGGUUGCGUAAGUCGUGUGUGAAAGGCCCGGGCUCAACCCGAGGAGGGCACAUGAUACUGGGAGAAUAGAGUAAAGGAGGGGGAACCGGAAUUCGCGGUGUAGCAGUGAAAUGCGUAGAUAUCACGAAGAACACUGGUGGCGAAGGCAGGUUCCUGGACAGUAACUGACGCUGAGGCACGAAGGCGAGGGUAGCGAAAAGGAUUAGAUACCCUGGUAGUC